ACUUAAGUAGUUUAUAUAAAAAUGUUGAUUUGUGGUGUCAAUGAAAUGAAAUUUCAUCUUGGGUU
rnacentral:tRNA from 1 species